rnacentral:rRNA from 1 species
GACGAACGCUGGCGGCGUGCUUAACACAUGCAAGUCGAACGGUAAGGCCCUUCGGGGUACACGAGUGGCGAACGGGUGAGUAACACGUGGGUGAUCUGCCCUGCACUUCGGGAUAAGCCUGGGAAACUGGGUCUAAUACCGGAUAGGACCACUGCCUGCAUGGGUGGUGGUGGAAAGCUUUUGCGGUGUGGGAUGGGCCCGCGGCCUAUCAGCGUGUUGGUGGGGGGAUGGUCUACCAAGGCGACGACGGGUAGCCGGCCUGGGAGGGUGACAGGGCACACUGGGACUGAGAUACGGCCCAGACUCCUACGGGAGGCAGCAGUGGGGAAUAGUGCACAAUGGGCGCAAGCCUGAUGCAGGGACGCCGCGUGAGGGAUGACGGCCUUCGGGGUGUAAACCUCUUUCAGCACCGACGAAGCGCAAGUGACGGUAGGUGCAGAAGAAGGACCGGCCAACUACGUGCCAGCCGCCGCAGUAA